CGCCGCGGUUAUACGAGAGGCCCAAGUUGUUAGACGCCGGCGUAAAGCGUGGUUAAGAUAACUUUUAUACUAAAGCCGAACGCCUUCCCUACUGUUAUACGUUCAUGAAGAUAGGAAGUCCAAUCACGAAAGUAGCUUUAUAACAUCUGAACCCACGAAAGCUAGAACA
rnacentral:rRNA from 1 species